rnacentral:rRNA from 1 species
GUAGGGAAUAUUGGGCAAUGGUCGGAAGACUGACCCAGCCAUGCCGCGUGCAGGAAGACGGCCCUCUGGGUUGUAAACUGCUUUUAUCUGGGAAGAAAAAGGCCAUGCGUGGCAAAUUGCCGGUACCAGAUGAAUAAGCACCGGCUAACUCCGUGCCAGCAGCCGCGGUAAUACGGAGGGUGCAAGCGUUGUCCGGAUUUAUUGGGUUUAAAGGGUGCGUAGGCGGCUGAGUAAGUCAGCGGUGAAAGACUCCGGCUUAACCGGAGCAGUGCCGUUGAUACUGGUUAGCUUGAGUGUUGGAGGGGUACAUGGAAUUGAUGGUGUAGCGGUGAAAUGCAUAGAUACCAUCAGGAACACCGAUAGCGAAGGCAUUGUACUGGCCAACAACUGACGCUGAUGCACGAAAGUGUGGGGAUCGAACAGGAUUAGAAACCCCUGUAGUCC